rnacentral:lncRNA from 1 species
GAUGAAUGUAUGUAUUAAAUAAGAUUAAUUUGGUAUUAUAGAUCAAGAAAAACGAGAUUCAAGUCGCGAUCGAGGAAAAGAAAAGAUUGUGGACUAAAUUGCAAAAUCUUUAUAUUUUGGUACCAAGGUAAGUUCAUGUGUAAAUGUAGUAACAUAAUUGUCAUUUUAAGCAUUUUAAUGUUGUUUAUAUGAUAUGAUGCUGAUUAUUAUCAUGAAAUAUUCUGCUUUGUGGUUAUUGUUGAAUAAUAUGUAAUUUUGUGAAUUACUUGAUGAGUAUGAACUAUCACCGAAGUACCGAUUUCGAUAUUUCGUGGAAGACGGCAAAGAUGUGUGAUCUAGGAAAACGCCCGUUUGAACUUUAGGAAUAGAUUAGGAUACAAGUGACAUGUCACUAGGAUGGUUGAGCAUCCGAACUCGUUGAGUUGAGUCCGAGUUCACCUAUGGAUGCGAAUGUCCGAACUCGUUGAGUUGAGUCCGAGAUCGUGAGAUGUAACUAGGCAUCCAAACUCGUUGAGUUGAGUCCGAGUUCACUUAGGGGCGGGUUACAUGAUUUCUUGAUUACAUAUGAGGCACUUAUGUGCAAAUUAUCCGUGUAUCCGAGUUGUAUUCCGAUGUGUUCAACGGGUGAAAUUUCUAGUGAAAUGGAAGAACACUUAAGAUGCAAGUGACGUUUUGGUAAGUGUUGUGAAAUGGACACUUUGGACAGGUAUGUUCUUAACCCUCGGGUUGAAAAUAGAUACAACAAUGAUAAGGUGGUAAGAUGAUGAAUGAUGUUUAGAAAUAUGACGUAUGUUUUGGUGAUACCAUGCUAAAGUUGUUUGGUAUAUUUGCAUUGUUAUGUUACUUGUUAUUUACAUAUGAACUUACUAAGCAUUUAUGCUUACUCCCUCCUCUUUAUUUACUGUAGUUUUGAACAAGCCAGUUCGGGAAUCGGGACGGGUCGAAGGUUCGAUCACACUAUCCAAAGGACUUUCAUCUGGGUAAAUGGCUUGUAAAACUUAAGUAUGGCAUGUAUAGCAAUAUACUUAUUUUGUGUAAAUAAUUUUAUGAUAUGGC